AGGCCAUGGAGCAUUUUGAAAACCAUUGGAAUCAUCUGUUCUUUAAAGCAAUUUCAGCUCCUGUCUUCUGAUUUUGGUCUUGAAAAGGGGAGUCAAUCCAACAGAAAGAAAAUGCAGCAAAGGGAUGGUGAUGAAUGGCAAGAGCCCUGGGCUCAUCUCUUGUGCCCUGAGGAGCAGAAGGAGGGAGGCAGC